rnacentral:lncRNA from 10 species
AAAGACCUUUGUAGGAGGAAUUCAAAUGAGACAGUAUCAACUUGAUGCUGCUCCUGCUUAGUGUACAGUGAUCAGAAGCGUGUGGGCAAAGACUAGUUCUAAUGGUUCCACAUACCAACAAAACUAGUGAUGCCAGCUGCUCUGAACGACCUAGCAAGAAACUGACUCAUGGAGGAAUGCAGUUUCAACAUCCUGAUGAUUACAUCCCCCUUACCCUGACCAAUCAACAAUCCAAAUUUUUCAGCUUCUCAUCCUCCACAGUCUCCUUAAAGGACCCCUUCAUGGAGCAAAUUUGUGGCUUGAGAUUUCCUCUCAUUUCCUAGUUCAAAGGCCUUGUGAUUAUUAAACUCAUUCUCGG